rnacentral:rRNA from 1 species
UACUAGAGUAGCACUCGCAUAUCAAUAAGCGGAGGAAAAGAAACUAACAAGGAUUCCCCUAGUAACGGCGAGUGAAGCGGGAAGAGCUCAAAUUUGAAAUCUUAAAGGGUUUCCCUUUACGAAUUGUAGUUUAAAGAAGUGUUUUCUGUUGAGGUUUUGGUAAAAGUUCUUUGGAAUAGGACAUCAUAGAGGGUGAGAAUCCCGUAUUUGACCUUUACUUUCAACUUUGUGAUACACUUCCAAAGAGUCGGAUUGUUUGGGAAUGCAGUCCAAAAUGGGUGGUAAAUUUCAUCUAAAGCUAAAUAUUGGCGAGAGACCGAUAGCGAACAAGUACCGUGAGGGAAAGAUGAAAAGAACUUUGAAAAGAGAGUUAAACAGUACGUGAAAUUGUCAAAAGGGAAGCGUUUGACACCAGUGUUGUUUUUCUGAAAAUCAAUUAAAGAACUGUCUAUGCUAAGCUGUUUAGACUUUAUCAGCUAAUCUGUUUAGUUUUGAGCUUUUCUUUAAUGCACUUUUCAGUUAACAAGUCAACAUCAAUUUCUUUUGCUGUAAAAAAGCUUGAGGAGGUGGCUUGAGAUUCGUCUUAAGUGUUUAUAGCCUCUUGCCUAUGCAGUCGGAGAGAUUGAGGUCUGCAGCGUAGAUCCUUCGGGGCUAAAUGCAUUUGUGCUAAGUUAUAGCAUUUUAUAGACAACUUGUUGACUAUGAUUUGUCUUGUAGCUUACUCGCUUAUGUUAUUUUACCUACGCUUAGGAUGUUGAACUCUAUCACACACAG